rnacentral:rRNA from 1 species
UACGAAGGGGGCUAGCGUUGUUCGGAAUCAAUGGGCGUAAAGGGCGCGUAGGCGGCCGAUCAAGUCGGGGGUGAAAGCCUGUGGCUCAACCACAGAAUUGCCUUCGAUACUGUUUGGCUUGAGACCGGAAGAGGUAAGUGGAACUGCGAGUGUAGAGGUGAAAUUCGUAGAUAUUCGCAAGAACACCAGUGGCGAAGGCGGCUUACUGGUCCGGUUCUGACGCUGAGGCGCGAAAGCGUGGGGAGCAAACAGG